AGAGUUUGAUCAUGGCUCAGGAUGAACGCUAGCGGGAGGCUUAACACAUGCAAGUCGAGGGGCAGCACGAUGUAGCAAUACGUUGGUGGCGACCGGCGCACGGGUGAGUAACGCGUAUGUAACCUACCCUGUACAGGGGGAUAGCCCGGAGAAAUUCGGAUUAAUACUCCAUAAUGAUAUUGAGAGGCAUCUUUUAAUAUUUAAAGUUUCGACGGUACGGGAUGGGCAUGCGUAACAUUAGCUAGUUGGUAGGGUAAUGGCCUACCAAGGCUACGAUGUUUAGGGGUCCUGAGAGGGUGAUCCCCCACACUGGUACUGAGACACGGACCAGACUCCUACGGGAGGCAGCAGUGAGGAAUAUUGGUCAAUGGGCGCAAGCCUGAACCAGCCAUCCCGCGUGCAGGAAGACGGCGCUAUGCGUUGUAAACUGCUUUUCCAGGGGAAGAAAACCCGCUACGUGUAGCGGCUUGCCGGUACCCUGGGAAUAAGCAUCGGCUAACUCCGUGCCAGCAGCCGCGGUAAUACGGAGGAUGCGAGCGUUAUCCGGAUUUAUUGGGUUUAAAGGGUGCGUAGGCGGAUUAAUAAGUCAGUGGUGAAAACCUGCAGCUUAACUGUAGACUUGCCAUUGAUACUGUUAGUCUUGAGUAUGGUCAAGGUAGGCGGAAUGUGUAAUGUAGCGGUGAAAUGCUUAGAUAUUACACAGAACACCGAUUGCGAAGGCAGCUUACUGGGCCAUUACUGACGCUGAUGCACGAAAGCGUGGGGAGCGAACAGGAUUAGAUACCCUAGUAGUCC
rnacentral:rRNA from 1 species